GACGGAGGAGGCAAGCGUUAUCCGGAAUUAUUGGGCGUAAAGCGUCCGCAGGCGGCUUUUUAAGCCUGUUGUCAAAGCCCACAGCUCAACUGUGGAUCGGCAAUGGAAACUGGGAAGCUAGAGUGUGGUAGGGGUAGAGGGAAUUCCCGGUGUAGCGGUGAAAUGCGUAGAUAUCGGGAAGAACACCAGUGGCGAAGGCGGCUCACUGGUCCAUUACUGACGCUGAGGUGCGAAAGCGUGGGGAGCAAACAGG
rnacentral:rRNA from 1 species